AUGUGCAUCCCUAAAGUAUGGGGUGGUAUGGGUUUCCGUGAUAUCAAUUUCAAUCUUGCAAUGCUUGCUAAACAAUGUUGGCGGCUCAUUGAUAAUUAUGAUUCACUAUGUGCAAAAGUUUUAAGAUCAAAGUACUAUCCUUUUGGUGACUUGUUAAACUUUGAUUUAAAGAAGGGAUCCUCCUAUGCAUGGCAAAGCAUUUGGUCAGGAACCCAGACUUUUAAAAAGGGCCACAUAUGGAGAGUUGGAAACGGAUUGAAAAUCAAUAUUUGGGAGGACUGUUGGAUACCAAACAGUAGCUCCCGAAAGAUUAUCAUGGCUCGUGGUAAUUGUGUUCUCACUACAGUUAAUGAGCCCAUAAGUCUAGUCACGGGAGAAUGGGAUGAAGCAUUGAUCCGUGAUAAUUUCUGGCAUAUUGAUGCUGAGAGAAUUCUGAAAAUUCCAAUAUUUCAGCAGGACACUGAGGAUUUUAUUGCUUGGCACCUCACAAAAUCAGGCAUAUUCAGUGUCCGCUCAGCAUACUAUAGGCAGUGGAAGGAAUGCUACGAAUCCAAUAAUGCGAACCCAAUUGGUAUUCGAGGUUCCUCACCUCAUCCAGUAUGGAAAAGGCUAUGGAAUUUGAAAGCACAGGGAAAGGUGAAAAUUUUCCUGUGGAGAUGUCUGCAUGACGCAAUUCCCUGCCAUUGUGCGCUAGCUAAUAGGCACAUAUCACAAUCUGCUUAAUGCCCUAUUUGCUCAUGAUUUGCAGAAGAUAUAGUACAUCUCUUACUUAAAUGUGAUAGAGCACAUGACAUUUGGAGGGGGCUCAGACUGCAUGAAAUAAUA
rnacentral:rRNA from 1 species